rnacentral:rRNA from 1 species
AGAGAGAGACAUGCGCGCAUAUCAAUAAGCGGAGGAAAAGAAACUAACUAAGGAUUCCCCUCAGUAACGGCGAGUGAAGCGGGAAGAGCUCAAAUUUGAAAUCCUCAAGGGUUCUACCUUUACGAAUUGUAGUUUAAAGAAGUGUUUUCUGUUGAGGUUUUGGUAAAAGUUCUUUGGAAUAGGACAUCAUAGAGGGUGAGAAUCCCGUAUUUGACCUUUACUUUCAACUUUGUGAUACACUUUCAAAGAGUCGGAUUGUUUGGGAAUGCAGUCCAAAAUGGGUGGUAAAUUUCAUCUAAAGCUAAAUAUUGGCGAGAGACCGAUAGCGAACAAGUACCGUGAGGGAAAGAUGAAAAGAACUUUGAAAAGAGAGUUAAACAGUACGUGAAAUUGUCAAAAGGGAAGCGUUUGACACCAGUGUUGUUUUUCUGAAAAUCAAUUAAAGAACUGUUUAUGCUAAGUUGUUUAGACUUUAUCAGCUAACUGUUUAGUUUUGAGCUUUUCUUUAAUGCACUUUUCAGUUAACAAGUCAACAUCAAUUUCUUUUGCUGUAAAAAAGCUUGAGGAAGGUGGCUUGAGAUUCGUCUUAAGUGUUUAUAGCCUCUUGCCUAUGCAGUCGGAGAGAUUGAGGUCUGCAGCGUAGAUCCUUCGGGGCUAAAUGCAUUUGUGCUAAGUUAUAGCAUUUUAUAGACAACUUGUUGACUAUGAUUUGUCUUGUAGCUUACUCGCUUAUGUUAUUUUACCUACGCUUAGGAUGUUGAGCGCAUGUCUCUCUCU